rnacentral:rRNA from 1 species
GACGAACGCUGGCGGCGUGCUUAACACAUGCAAGUCGAGCGGAAAGGCCCUGCUUUUGUGGGUUGCUCGAUUGGCGAACGCGUGAGUAACACGUGUGUAACCUGCCCUUGACAUUGGGAUAACUUCUGGAAACUGGGGCUAAUACCGCGUAUGAGCUCCUGCUGCACAGGGGGGGAUGGAGAGUUUCGGCGGUUGGGGAUGGAUGCGCGGCUUAUCAGCUUGUUGGGGGGGUAGUGGCUUACCAAGGCUUUGACGGGUAGCCGGCCUGGGAGGGUGGACGGCGACAUGGGGACUGAGAGACGGCCCAGACGGGUACGGUAGGCAGCAGGGGGGAAUAUUGCAGAAUGGGCGGAAGUGUGAGGCAGCAACCCCGCGUGCGGGAUGACGGCCUACGGGGUGUAAACAGCUGUCGCCGGAGCCGAAGAGGGAGUGACGGUAACGGGUAAAGAAGCACCGGCUAACUACGUG